UGUAUGUCUCAUUUUCUGUCGAGCAAACAUAAUGGUAAAUUAAGACAGCGUGGAGCUUGAGGGCAAUACGUGCCUAAUAUUUUGCUCUUCUGCCAAGAUUCACUUCUCAGGAAAAGUUCAUGAUGAAGGGCAACAAUUUCAGACCAAGGAUGAGGAGAUGGCAAAGCCUUCAGUUACGAUAUAAUUUCCAGAGCCUGGCAGAUCCUGAGGAGAGACAAUCUUGUGUACUUAAAGAGGGUCAUUCAGGUGCAAAACUACAGUCUCUCAGUCAUCACACUGACCUCCAACUCAGCUGACAGUCUGUGAUGAUGCCACAGGAUGUGUAGUGUCCAGAGCUCCACGGCAAACUUUAGCAGUACAGGAGGAUUGUGGAUUCUUCUGAGAUAAAACUACUAAUGUUGUUACAGGCACAAUAAGACUGUAAACAUAUGUCAGCAUAUAACAGUUUUAUAUGCCUA